CUUUUUUCGUCCCCUCCAGGCCUCCACAGAAGCCAUUUUCACCCUUCCUAUCUCAAAGAUAUAUACUAGCCUACGCGUACACAUCGUCUAAGAAACGAAGUCGAUCGCGUCGUCUCUUGUGCGUGCUCAAACGUGGCCGUGGACGGCACAGAUGUACGCCGGCGUCAGCAGGCCGGGGGCACCGGUGCACCUCGCUCUGCUGGCUUGUUCUUCCGAUCCCUGCUGGCUACUUUCUUAUAGAGCACAGUAGAUAGGGAAACCUGUCAGGAGCUUCGGCAUACGGCGACGCAGUACCGGUAGGGGCAGGUGUAUUGCAGCCAUGGAAGCAGGUGCUGCGGGUCUCGCUGCACUGAUGGUGCUGGUCAGCUGGGCGGCGGGUCUCGCCGCCGCCGCCGCCUCGGCGUCGCUGGCCACGUCGCCGGUGCCGUUCCAGGCCGGCUACAUGCCGCUGUUCGGCGGCGACAACCUCGUCCGGUCGCCCGGCGGCCGCUCCGUCCGCCUCAAACUCGAUCGCCGCACCGGCUCCGGGUGCGUAUCCAAGUCGGCGUACCACCAUGGAUACUUCAGCGCUUCCAUCAAGCUGCCCGACGACCACACCGCCGGCGUCGUCGUCGCCUUCUACCUGUCGAACGCCGACGUGUUCCCCCGCAACCACGACGAGGUGGACUUCGAGCUGCUGGGCAACCGGCGGGGCCACGAGUGGCGCGUCCAGACCAACGUCUACGGCAACGGCAGCACCUCCCGCGGCCGCGAGGAGCGCUACCUCCUCCCCUUCGACCCCACCCUCCGCCCGCACGCCUACGCCGUCGCCUGGACCCCCACCGCCGUCGUCUUCUACGUGGACGGGGCGCCCAUCCGCGAGGUGGUCCGCGCGCCCGUCAUGGGCGGCGACUUCCCCUCCAAGCCCAUGUCCGUCUACGCCACCAUCUGGGACGGCUCCGCCUGGGCCACCGAGGGCGGACGCUACAAGGUCGACUACGCCCACGCGCCCUUCGCCGCCGACUUCUCGCGGCUCGUCCUCGCCGGCUGCCCCGCCGGCGCCGGCGCGAGCUGCGCGGUGGCGGCGAUGACGGCGGAGUUCGCGGUCAUGACCCCCUCCAAGCGCGCCGCCAUGCGGCGGUUCCGGCGGCAGCACCUCCUCUACACCGUGUGCCACGACCGGUACCGGUACAACGGCACCGUCUUCCCCGAGUGCGACGACGCCGAACGCGACGACUUCCACAAGUGGGGCGAGUCCAAGCGCGUGUCGCCGGGCCGCCGCGGGUACAGGCAGCACCGGCAGCCGCGCGCGGACAAGGCCGCCGCCGGUCGCCCCAGCACGUGGCCGACGAUGGGAGCCCUACGUGCAGACUAGCUAGUACUAGUAUGGCGGUCGAUGUGUGUGGACGUGUGGUGCGUGCCAUUGCCAUUAGGAGAUUGCUGAUGAAUUAGUUAUAUUAGUGGACGUCGAGGAUAUAUCGGGUGCAUAGCACUGUAUGUGUACAGGUGUUUCUUACUCUGCAUUUUUCAAGAUGCAGAAAGAUACAGUCAUGCGGGCUUGCAAUAGAUAGAUUGCGUGGUUCCAUUUCCAUGCUCAUUUUUCAGUCGAAUAUAUCUCUAUCAGGGCCGUCCCACAAAAUUUGUGGGCCCUGUGCGAAA